UACGUAGGGGGCAAGCGUUGUCCGGAAUCAUUGGGCGUAAAGCGCGCGUAGGCGGCUCGAUCAGUCUGCUGUAAAAGUCAAAGGCUCAACCUUUGAAUGCCGGUGGAUACUGUCGAGCUAGAGUCCGGAAGAGGCGAGUGGAAUUCCUGGUGUAGCGGUGGAAUGCGCAGAUAUCAGGAAGAACACCGACGGCGAAGGCAGCUCGCUGGGACGGUACUGACGCUGAGGCGCGAAAGCGUGGGGAGCGAACAGG
rnacentral:rRNA from 1 species